UACGUAGGGGCCUAGCGUUGUCCGGAAUUAUUGGGCGUAAAGAGCUCGUAGGCGGUUCGGCAAGUCGGAUGUGAAAUCUCCACGCUUAACGUGGAGGGGCCAUUCGAAACUGCUGUGACUCGAGUCCGGUAGGGGAGUGUGGAAUUCCCGGUGUAGCGGUGAAAUGCGCAGAUAUCGGGAGGAACGCCAGUAGCGAAGGCGGCACUCUGGGCCGGUACUGACGCUGAGGAGCGAAAGCGUGGGGAGCGAACAGG
rnacentral:rRNA from 1 species